rnacentral:rRNA from 1 species
GUGGGGAAUAUUGGACAAUGGGCGAAAGCCUGAUCCAGCCAUGCCGCGUGUGUGAAGAAGGUCUUCGGAUUGUAAAGCACUUUAAGUUGGGAGGAAGGGCAGUAAGUUAAUACCUUGCUGUUUUGACGUUACCGACAGAAUAAGCACCGGCUAACUUCGUGCCAGCAGCCGCGGUAAUACGAAGGGUGCAAGCGUUAAUCGGAAUUACUGGGCGUAAAGCGCGCGUAGGUGGUUUUGUAAGUUGGAGGUGAAAUCCCCGGGCUCAACCUGGGAACUGCCUCCAAGACUACUGAGCUAGAGUACGGUAGAGGGUAGUGGAAUUUCCUGUGUAGCGGUGAAAUGCGUAGAUAUAGGAAGGAACACCAGUGGCGAAGGCGACUACCUGGACUGAUACUGACACUGAGGUGCGAAAGCGUGGGGAGCAAACAGGAUUAGAUACCCUUGUAGUCC